rnacentral:rRNA from 1 species
GCCUGCCCAGUGACCAUGUGUUCAACGGCCGCGGUAUUCUGACCGCGCGAAGGUAGCGUAAUCACUUGUCUUCUAAAUAAAGACUAGUAUGAACGGCCACACGAAGACUUAACUGUCUCCCCUGUCCAAUCAGUGAAACUGAUCUCCUUGUGCAGAAGCGAGGAUGAAUCCAUAAGACGAGAAGACCCUAUGGAGCUUUAAACUUAAUAUUAACUAUUCCUAUAAUCCCCUCUAAGGAAUUAACAAAUAACCCUUUUAACUUAAUAUUAGUUUUAGGUUGGGGCGACCAUGGAGAAAAAAAUAUCCUCCCUGAUGACUUUUAAACCAAGAGCUACAGCUCUAAGUAUUAAGAUACUUAACUUCCAUUGACCCAUUUUAUGAUCAACGAACCAAGUUACCCUAGGGAUAACAGCGCAAUCCAUUUCAAGAGUCCCUAUCGACAAAUGGGUUUACGACCUCGAUGUUGGAUCAGGGCAUCCCAGUGGUGCAACCGCUACUAAAGGUUCGUUUGUUCAACGAUUAAAGCCCU